GGGUUGUGAGGUUAAGCGACUAAGCGUACACGGUGGAUGCCCUGGCAGUCAGAGGCGAUGAAGGACGUGCUAAUCUGCGAUAAGCGUCGGUAAGGUGAUAUGAACCGUUAUAACCGGCGAUUUCCGAAUGGGGAAACCCAGUGUGAUUCGUCACACUAUCAUUAACUGAAUCCAUAGGUUAAUGAGGCGAACCGGGGGAACUGAAACAUCUAAGUACCCCGAGGAAAAGAAAUCAACCGAGAUUCCCCCAGUAGCGGCGAGCGAACGGGGAGCAGCCCAGAGCCUGAAUCAGUGUGUGUGUUAGUGGAAGCGUCUGGAAAGGCGCGCGAUACAGGGUGACAGCCCCGUACACAAAAAUGCACAUGCUGUGAGCUCGAUGAGUAGGGCGGGACACGUGGUAUCCUGUCUGAAUAUGGGGGGACCAUCCUCCAAGGCUAAAUACUCCUGACUGACCGAUAGUGAACCAGUACCGUGAGGGAAAGGCGAAAAGAACCCCGGCGAGGGGAGUGAAAAAGAACCUGAAACCGUGUACGUACAAGCAGUGGGAGCACGCUUAGGCGUGUGACUGCGUACCUUUUGUAUAAUGGGUCAGCGACUUAUAUUCUGUAGCAAGGUUAACCGAAUAGGGGAGCCGAAGGGAAACCGAGUCUUAACUGGGCGUUAAGUUGCAGGGUAUAGACCCGAAACCCGGUGAUCUAGCCAUGGGCAGGUUGAAGGUUGGGUAACACUAACUGGAGGACCGAACCGACUAAUGUUGAAAAAUUAGCGGAUGACUUGUGGCUGGGGGUGAAAGGCCAAUCAAACCGGGAGAUAGCUGGUUCUCCCCGAAAGCUAUUUAGGUAGCGCCUCGUGAAUUCAUCUCCGGGGGUAGAGCACUGUUUCGGCAAGGGGGUCAUCCCGACUUACCAACCCGAUGCAAACUGCGAAUACCGGAGAAUGUUAUCACGGGAGACACACGGCGGGUGCUAACGUCCGUCGUGAAGAGGGAAACAACCCAGACCGCCAGCUAAGGUCCCAAAGUCAUGGUUAAGUGGGAAACGAUGUGGGAAGGCCCAGACAGCCAGGAUGUUGGCUUAGAAGCAGCCAUCAUUUAAAGAAAGCGUAAUAGCUCACUGGUCGAGUCGGCCUGCGCGGAAGAUGUAACGGGGCUAAACCAUGCACCGAAGCUGCGGCAGCGACACUGUGUGUUGUUGGGUAGGGGAGCGUUCUGUAAGCCUGCGAAGGUGUGCUGUGAGGCAUGCUGGAGGUAUCAGAAGUGCGAAUGCUGACAUAAGUAACGAUAAAGCGGGUGAAAAGCCCGCUCGCCGGAAGACCAAGGGUUCCUGUCCAACGUUAAUCGGGGCAGGGUGAGUCGACCCCUAAGGCGAGGCCGAAAGGCGUAGUCGAUGGGAAACAGGUUAAUAUUCCUGUACUUGGUGUUACUGCGAAGGGGGGACGGAGAAGGCUAUGUUGGCCGGGCGACGGUUGUCCCGGUUUAAGCGUGUAGGCUGGUUUUCCAGGCAAAUCCGGAAAAUCAAGGCUGAGGCGUGAUGACGAGGCACUACGGUGCUGAAGCAACAAAUGCCCUGCUUCCAGGAAAAGCCUCUAAGCAUCAGGUAACAUCAAAUCGUACCCCAAACCGACACAGGUGGUCAGGUAGAGAAUACCAAGGCGCUUGAGAGAACUCGGGUGAAGGAACUAGGCAAAAUGGUGCCGUAACUUCGGGAGAAGGCACGCUGAUAUGUAGGUGAAGUCCCUCGCGGAUGGAGCUGAAAUCAGUCGAAGAUACCAGCUGGCUGCAACUGUUUAUUAAAAACACAGCACUGUGCAAACACGAAAGUGGACGUAUACGGUGUGACGCCUGCCCGGUGCCGGAAGGUUAAUUGAUGGGGUCAGCGCAAGCGAAGCUCUUGAUCGAAGCCCCGGUAAACGGCGGCCGUAACUAUAACGGUCCUAAGGUAGCGAAAUUCCUUGUCGGGUAAGUUCCGACCUGCACGAAUGGCGUAAUGAUGGCCAGGCUGUCUCCACCCGAGACUCAGUGAAAUUGAACUCGCUGUGAAGAUGCAGUGUACCCGCGGCAAGACGGAAAGACCCCGUGAACCUUUACUAUAGCUUGACACUGAACAUUGAGCCUUGAUGUGUAGGAUAGGUGGGAGGCUUUGAAGUGUGGACGCCAGUCUGCAUGGAGCCGACCUUGAAAUACCACCCUUUAAUGUUUGAUGUUCUAACGUUGACCCGUGAUCCGGGUUGCGGACAGUGUCUGGUGGGUAGUUUGACUGGGGCGGUCUCCUCCUAAAGAGUAACGGAGGAGCACGAAGGUUGGCUAAUCCUGGUCGGACAUCAGGAGGUUAGUGCAAUGGCAUAAGCCAGCUUGACUGCGAGCGUGACGGCGCGAGCAGGUGCGAAAGCAGGUCAUAGUGAUCCGGUGGUUCUGAAUGGAAGGGCCAUCGCUCAACGGAUAAAAGGUACUCCGGGGAUAACAGGCUGAUACCGCCCAAGAGUUCAUAUCGACGGCGGUGUUUGGCACCUCGAUGUCGGCUCAUCACAUCCUGGGGCUGAAGUAGGUCCCAAGGGUAUGGCUGUUCGCCAUUUAAAGUGGUACGCGAGCUGGGUUUAGAACGUCGUGAGACAGUUCGGUCCCUAUCUGCCGUGGGCGCUGGAGAACUGAGGGGGGCUGCUCCUAGUACGAGAGGACCGGAGUGGACGCAUCACUGGUGUUCGGGUUGUCAUGCCAAUGGCACUGCCCGGUAGCUAAAUGCGGAAGAGAUAAGUGCUGAAAGCAUCUAAGCACGAAACUUGCCCCGAGAUGAGUUCUCCCUGACUCCUUGAGAGUCCUGAAGGAACGUUGAAGACGACGACGUUGAUAGGCCGGGUGUGUAAGCGCAGCGAUGCGUUGAGCUAACCGGUACUAAUGAACCGUGAGGCUUAACCUUACAACGCCGAAGCUGUU
rnacentral:rRNA from 1 species